GCGGGCAUGGCGGAAUUGGCAGACGCAUAAGAUUUAGGAUCUUACGCCUCCGGCGUGCAGGUUCAAGUCCUGUUGCCCGUACCA
rnacentral:tRNA from 1 species